CCCAAAUCCACUCCUCUCCUCUCCGGUCACCGGCUCCGGCAGCCCGCUCUGCGCUCGGGGAUGAGAAGCAGCCGCGCGAAGUGAAACUCCCCUUCCUCCCUUCCCCACCCCAAACCGAUGGCCCUUAACAACGCGAGCGCCACCCGCAAUCGCCCGCCGCCCACCGCCGCCGCAUGCCUCCCGCCACGCGGAAGGCGCAGGCGAGGAGGAGGUACCCGCACGCCGGGACAGGGCCGGCCGAGGUGGAACCACGGCAGAUGCAAUGCGAGGAGCAGCGUCUUGAGCCCACGGCCGGCCGGAGGUCGGCAUCCACACGCCCAAGGGCCACAUCCUCGGCAUGUUCCCCUACCCCAGGUAUACUGUACCUGCAUCUGUCAUUCUCUCCACACGAAAUUUGUGCUCGAAUUCGUUACUGCAGCAGUGGGUGCGUGAUACUGUAAUUUGUGCUCGUCCUGUUACUGUUAGGACUGCCAUAGCCGGUGAAGGAGAGAAGGUGGAUUUGAGAUGAAGAAGAAGGGGGGAGAGGUGAUGCUAGCAAUGCCUGCCUGCCGUAUACGGUAUACCUGGCACCUAGUACAAUUCAAUCAGGUAUUAUCAUGUGGAGAGGAAUGUUUGGAACAUUUCAUCUUGGCAGCCAUCUCUUUUGAAUCUAUCUGGUACUUCGUGUGGAGCAAGUUCGACGAUGUGGAUAGCUGGAUCCUGACUACAAAAUGUUGUGGACUAAUAAUUGAUUUUCCCGCAGCGCGACAAAGAUGGACGGACAAGUCUCCGGCUUGCCCCGUUUCUUCUCCUUGAUGACUGAAUUGGCACUUUGCAGACUCAAGCAAAAACUCUGCUUGGGCUUUACAGUAGGAUACUUCCUCAACCACAGAGCCAACUGUAUGCAAAUAUUUAUUCUGUGUUACUUGAUGGUGGCAAAGAAAUAAUGGUAACUGAUGCUCCCCUUUUCUACUAUUCAUCCCAGUCAAUGUUUCCAUGAUUGUGUGGAUUUUGGGUUGCAGAAGCUGUAGGUUGUAUAGUAAGCAGAGAAUAGUAUUUCUACUUUGAUAGACUGGUUCAAGCACACAUUUUCUUCAUCCACAUAGACCUCUCACAAGUUCCUUUUGUGCUCAGGCCUUUUUCAGUCAUAAAUAAGUGGCACUGAAGUCAAGAAGAAGUUUCAACUCCCCUAUUCCUCUAACAUAUAUCUGAGCACACACACACACACACACAUACACACACACAAUAUUUAACAAACACACUCCGUUAGAAGCUGUAGGUUGUAUAGCAAGCAGAGAAUAGUAUUUGUACUUCUAUAGACUGGUUUAUGCACACGUUUUCUCACAAGUUCCUUCCUGCUCAGGCUAUUUUUCAAUCAUCCGGCGGCGUGAGCUACUACCAAGCUAACCAAGACACGCUCAAGUCAAAGUAUAGAAGUUUCAACUUCCCUACCCUCACUUCCACAUAUAUCUAAGCACACACGCACACACACACACACACAAAUAUUUUAAUAAGCACACUCCAUUAGGACAAGAAGAGAGACAUGUCUCCUCAAGUUUUCCGCACCCAAUCUCUGAUUCCCCACCAUGCACUCUUCCUUCUUUGCACCAUCCUCAUAUUUCUAUCCUCCAACACAAUCAUAUUCUCAUCGGCACAGGCUACCAACAAAACCGAAGAUGACCGGCAAGCCCUUCUCUGCUUCAAAGCUGGCAUCUCCAAGGACCCUGCCGGUGUUCUUGGAUCAUGGCGCAAUGACUCGCUUAACUUCUGCAGCUGGCGAGGGGUCAACUGCAGCACCACCCUCCCGAUCCGUGUCGUGUCCCUCCAAUUGAGGUCUGCUCAGCUCACAGGAACACUAUCCAGCUGUACAGCUGCCCUUACUUCUCUAUUUCAGUUGAACCUUUGGAAUAAUAAGUUAUCUGGAAGCGUACCUGAAGACAUAGGUGAGCUUCGGAGCCUCCAAACCCUGAUGCUUGCUGGCAACAGGCUUUCAGGUAACAUCCCUCUGUCAUUAGGUACAGCUGCAUCUCUUAGAUAUGUCAACCUUGCAAACAAUUCUCUUAGUGGAGCUAUCCCUGAUUCCUUAGCAAAUAGUUUGUCACUCAGUGAGAUAAUCCUCUCACGUAAUAACAUAUCUGGGGUGAUCCCAGCUAAUUUAUUCAACUCAUCCAAACUUGUUGCUGUUGACCUCCGGUCGAAUGCUCUCUCCGGGCCUAUCCCACAUUUCCAAAAGAUGGAUGCUCUGCAAUUUCUUAAUCUUACAGGGAAUUCACUUUCUGGUACUAUACCAGCAUCUUUGGGCAAUGUUUCAUCAUUGCGUUCCCUCCUGCUAGCACAAAACAACUUAGCAGGAUCAGUUCCAGAAACUUUGGGUCAAAUUCCAAACCUAACAGUGCUAGAUCUAAGUAAUAACAUGUUCACGGGGUAUGUCCCAGUUACACUGUACAAUGUGUCAUCACUCACACUCUUUAGCUUAGGCACCAACAAUUUUAUUGGACACAUACCUUCUGAAAUUGGCCACUCACUUCCAAAUCUUCAAACAUUGGUAAUGGGAGGCAACGGAUUUCGUGGACCAAUCCCAGAUUCUCUGACCAACAUGUCAAAGCUCCAAGUGCUUGAUCUUUCAAGCAACUUGCUGACUGGCAUGGUGCCAUCCCUAGGAUCCUUGGCAGACAUGAGUCAACUGAUUUUACGUAAUAAUAAACUCGAAGCUGGCGACUGGGCCUUCCUUACCUCUCUGACCAAUUGCACUCAGUUGUUAAUAUUAUCAAUGGAUGGAAAUAUCCUGAAUGGAAGUUUGCCAAAAGCAGUAGGCAAACUUUCAACAAAGCUUCAGCGGUUAAGCUUUGGAAGAAACCAAAUUUCUGGAAACAUACCAGCUGAGAUAGGCAAGCUUGUAAGUCUCACUCUGCUUGACAUGGGCCAGAACAUGCUCUCUGGACCAAUUCCCCUGACAGUUUGGAACUUGAGAAACUUGGUUGUCCUAAAACUUUCCAUGAAUAGGUUGUCACGUCAGAUUCCAUCAACAGUUGGUAAUCUUGUUCAACUCAACCAGCUUGAUCUUGAUGGCAAUGAAUUGUCUGGAAACAUACCAGCAAAUAUAGGACAGUGCAAAAGGCUUGCUAUGCUGAACAUGUCAGUUAACCGCCUUGAUGGAUCCAUACCAAUAGAACUCUUUGGUAUUUCUUCCCUUUCAUUGGGUUUGGACUUGUCAAACAACCACCUGACUGGGCCUAUACCACAGGAAGUUGGUAACCUGAUCAAUCUUGGCCUCCUAAAUAUUUCCAAUAACAAAUUAUCUGGUGGCCUUCCUUAUGAACUUGGCCAGUGUGUUCAACUGCUAUCCCUUCAAAUAGAACGCAACAUGCUCAGCGGGUAUAUUCCUCAGUCUUUCAGUGCACUGAAGGUCAUACAGCAGAUAGAUCUGUCCGAGAACAAUUUAAUUGGUCAAGUUCCACAGUAUUUUGGGAACUUCAGCAGCUUAAAUUAUAUUAAUAUAUCAUACAACAAAUUGGAAGGGCCAAUCCCGACUGGUGGCAUAUUUGGAAAUUCAACUGCAGUAUUCCUGCAAGGCAACACAGGGUUAUGUGCAGUUAUUGCCAUAUUUGGACUGCCCAUUUGCCCCACCACCCCAGCAACAAAAAAGAAGAUAAAUGCACGCCUGCUGCUGAUAAUAACUGCAUUGAUUACUGUUGCUUUGUUCUCUAUUAUAUGUGUUGUUGUCACUGUUAUGAAGAGGACCAAAACUCAACCAUCUGAAAACUUCAAGGAAACAAUGAAGAGGGUGUCAUAUGGGAACAUCCUUAAAGCCACCAAUUGGUUCUCUGUAGUUAACCGGAUAAGCUCAAGUCAUACAGCAUCAGUCUACAUUGGUCGAUUUGAGUUCGAGACAGAUCUCGUGGCCAUCAAGGUGUUCCAUCUCAGUGAGCAGGGUUCGAGAACUAGCUUUUUCACCAAGUGCGAAGUUCUGAAAAACACCCGCCACCGCAAUCUGGUUCAAGCUAUCACCAUGUGCUCAACCGUAGAUUUCGAGGGCGAUGAAUUCAAGGCUAUAGUAUAUGAGUUCAUGGCAAACGGUAGCCUGGACAUGUGGAUACACCCAAGGGUUGGCAGCUCAAGGAGGCUGUUGAGCUUGGGCCAGCGGAUAAGUAUUGCUGCUGAUGUAGCUUCUGCUCUGGACUAUAUGCACAACCAGCUGACACCUCCUUUAAUUCACUGUGAUCUGAAGCCGAGCAAUGUUCUGCUGGACUACGACAUGACCUCAGCAUUGGCGACUUUGGGUCCGCCAAGUUUCUCUCUUCAAGUAUCGGCAGACCAGAAGGCUUGAUCGGUGUAGGAGGAACAAUCGGAUAUAUCGCUCCUGAAUACGGGAUGGGAUGCAAAGUCUCGACAGUCGGCGACGUGUACGGCUUCGGGGUGCUGCUACUGGAGAUGCUCACGGCGGUGCGACCUACGGAGGCACAAUGCAGCAACGCCCUCGGCCUCCACAAGUAUGUCGAUCAAGCCUUCCCCGAGAGGAUCGCUGAGAUUCUAGAUCCCCAUAUGCCUUCCGAGGAGGACGAGGCGGCUGCUUCUCUGCGUAUGCAAAACUACAUUAUACCUUUGGUCAGUAUUGGCCUGAUGUGUACCAUGGAUUCGCCGCAAGAUAGACCAGGUAUGCAUGAUGUCUGUGCCAGAAUUGUUGCCAUGAAAGAGGCAUUUGUCGAGACCUUGUGAUUACGGCAACUAGUGGGUUGAGCAGUGAGAUGUUUAAAGAUCAUGUAUAUACAUUCAGAAGAACAGUACGGUUACUACACUACUGUGAUGCCUAUAUACAUUAUUACAGUAGCUGUAUCACUUGUAGAAUAAUUCCAACAGUUUUUUGUAUGUAUCUGGUAAAUAUGAACCAUUAUGCUAUGUGCCCGCC
rnacentral:rRNA from 1 species